rnacentral:rRNA from 1 species
UACAGAGGAGCCAAGCGUUGUCCGGAUUGACUGGGCGUAAAGCGCACGCAGGCGGAUGCGCGCGUGGGGUGUGAAAUCUGGCCGCUUAACGGCCAGGCGCCACCCCAUACGGCGCAUCUGGAGUGAUGCAGAGGUCGGUGGAAUUGCCGGUGUAGUGGUGGAAUGCGUAGAUAUCGGGAGGAACACCAGUGGCGAAGGCGGUUACCUGGAGCUUUGCUGACGCUGAUGCGCGAAAGCGUGGGGAGCGAUCCGG